GAUGAAGAACGUAGUGAAACGCGAUAUGUAAUGUGAAUUGCAGAAUUCAGUGAAUCAUCAAAUCUUUGAACGCACAUGGCGCCUUCCAGUAUCCUGGGAGGCAUGCCUGUCCGAGCGUCGUUUCAACCCUCGAGCCCCCGUGGCCCGGCGUUGGGGAUCUGCCCAGGCAGUCCCCGAAAACCAGUGGCGGACCCGUUACAGGCCCUUCCCUUGCGUAGUAGCAUUCGCCUCGCAUCGGGAGCCGGCGGGCUUCCAGCCUCUAAACCCCCAUCAAGUCCGCCCCGGCGGCACCAAGGUUGACCUCGGAUCAGGUAGGAAUACCCGCUGAACUUAAGCAUAUCAAUAAGCGGAGGA
rnacentral:misc_RNA from 1 species